CCUACGGGAGGCAGCAGUGGGGAAUAUUGCACAAUGGGGGAAACCCUGAUGCAGCGACGCCGCGUGAGUGAAGAAGUCUUUCGUUAUGUAAAGCUCUAUCAGCAGGGAAGAAAAUGACGGUACCCGCGUAAGAAGCCCCGGCUAACUACGUGCCAGCAGCCGCGGUAAUACGUAGGGGGCAAGCGUUGUCCGGAUUUACUGGGUGUAAAGGGAGCGUAGACGGCAGUGCAAGUCUGGUGUGAAAGGCGGGGGCUCAACCCCCGGACUGCUCUGGAAACUGUAGGGCUGGAGUGCAGGAGAGGUAAGGGGAAUUCCUGGUGUAGCGGUGAAAUGCGUAGAUAUCAGGAGGAACACCAGUGGCGAAGGCGGCUUGCUGGACUGUAACUGACGUUGAGGCUCGAAAGCGUGGGGAGCAAACAGGAUUAGAUACCCCAGUAGUC
rnacentral:rRNA from 1 species